rnacentral:lncRNA from 1 species
UUUAUUCAACUAAACCCAAUACACGAGAAGUAACACUUUAUUCAACUAAUACGAAAAUAAUAUUUUACCUCGGAUGGAGCAGAUAGAUCAUCACUUGAGUUCCCGUCUGAAAGCUCUUCUACAUGCUCUUCUACUACAGGAGCAAUGUUUUUUCGAGCUCUUGUGGUCGUUCUUUUUUUCUGAUUACUCUGAUUUUUCUGUCUGCGCUUCUUACGGCCUCCCAUUAUCUUGAUCCUCUAAAAAUCCAAAACUAACCAAGAACGAGAAUCAUUAAUCUGCCUAAUCUUAAUACCAUUCGCUCAAUUAAUAAAUCUCCAAGCCUCUUUCAAUCUAUAUAUGCUCAAACGUUCAAAGACUCAAUCCCCCAAUUCGGUUUCACAUAUCAAACAUUCAACCCAACAUUCUCUCUA